rnacentral:rRNA from 1 species
UGGGGAAUAUUGCACAAUGGGCGCAAGCCUGAUGCAGCGACGCCGCGUGAGGGAUGGAGGCCUUCGGGUUGUGAACCUCUUUCGCCAGUGAAGCAGGCCUGCUCCUUGUGGGUGGGUUGACGGUAGCUGGAUUAAGAAGCGCCGGCUAACUACGUGCCAGCAGCCGCGGUAAUACGUAGGGCGCGAGCGUUGUCCGGAAUUAUUGGGCGUAAAGAGCUCGUAGGCGGCUGGUCGCGUCUGUCGUGAAAUCCUCUGGCUUAACUGGGGGCUUGCGGUGGGUACGGGCCGGCUUGAGUGCGGUAGGGGAGACUGGAACUCCUGGUGUAGCGGUGGAAUGCGCAGAUAUCAGGAAGAACACCGGUGGCGAAGGCGGGUCUCUGGGCCGUUACUGACGCUGAGGAGCGAAAGCGUGGGGAGCGAACAGGAUUAGAUACCCUGGUAGUCCACGCCGUAAACGUUGGGCACUAGGUGUGGGGGGCCUUUUCCGGGUCUUCCGCGCCGUAGCUAACGCAUUAAGUGCCCCGCCUGGGGAGUACGGCCGCAAGGCUA